AGAAAAGUGACCGCCGCCCCGCGCAGGGGCGACGCUAGCAGACCGUUAGCGCAACAGGUUCAACGAAAGGGCGUAGAGAACCAAAAACAAACCCACGCCCCCGCGAGCCACCU
rfam:Burkholderia cenocepacia J2315 chromosome 1, complete genome